rnacentral:rRNA from 1 species
AACUGCGAGUGAAGCGGGAAAAGCUCAAAUUUAAAAUCUGGCGGUCUUUGGCUGUCCGAGUUGUAAUUUAGAGAAGCGUCUUCCGCGCUGGACCGUGCACAAGUCUCCUGGAAUGGAGCGUCAUAGAGGGUGAGAAUCCCGUCUUUGGCACGGAUGCCUGGUGCUUUUGUGAUGCGCUCUCAAAGAGUCGAGUUGUUUGGGAAUGCAGCUCAAAAUGGGUGGUGAACUCCAUCUAAAGCUAAAUAUUGGCGAGAGACCGAUAGCGAACAAGUACCGUGAGGGAAAGAUGAAAAGCACUUUGGAAAGAGAGUGAAACAGUACGUGAAAUUGUUGAAAGGGAAACGCUUGAAGUCAGUCGCGUCGACCGAGACUCAGCCUUGCCUCGGCUUGGUGUACUUCUCGGACCGACGGGUCAGCAUCAAUUUUGCCCCUCGGAUAAUGGCAAGGGAAAGGUGGCACCUUUACGGGUGUGUUAUAGUCUCCUGUCGCAUGUGAGGGGUGGGAUUGAGGAACUCAGCGUGCACCUUGGUGUCGGGGCUUCG